UACGGAGGGGGCAAGCGUUGUCCGGAAUCAUUGGGCGUAAAGAGCGUGUAGGCGGCCCGGUAAGUCCGCUGUGAAAGUCCAGGGCUCAACCCUGGGAUGCCGGUGGAUACUGUCGGGCUCGAGUCCGGAAGAGGAGUGUGGAAUUCCUGGUGUAGCGGUGAAAUGCGCAGAUAUCGGGAGGAACACCGGUGGCGAAGGCGGUUCUCUGGGCCUGACCUGACGCUGAGGAGCGAAAGCGUGGGGAGCGAACAGG
rnacentral:rRNA from 1 species